rnacentral:rRNA from 1 species
CAUGCUAGUCGCACGAGUUCAGACUCGUGGCGAAUAGCUCAGUAACACGUGGCCAAACUACCCUUCGGAGCUCCAUACCCUCGGGAAACUGAGGCUAAUAGAGCAUACCACAAUCCAGCUGGAAUGAGGAUUGUGUCAAACGCUCCGGCGCCGAAGGAUGUGGCUGCGGCCGAUUAGGUAGACGGUGGGGUAACGGCCCACCGUGCCAAUAAUCGGUACGGGUCAUGAGAGUGAGAACCCGGAGACGGAAUCUGAGACAAGAUUCCGGGCCCUACGGGGCGCAGCAGGCGCGAAACCUUUACACUGCACGCCAGUGCGAUAAGGGGAUCCCAAGUGCGCAGGCAUAGAGCCUGCGCUUUUGUACACCGUAGGGAGGUGUACGAAUAAGGGCUGGGCAAGACCGGUGCCAGCCGCCGCGGUAAUACCGGCAGCCCGAGUGAUGGCCGAUUUUAUUGGGCCUAAAGCGUCCGUAGCUGGCCGCGCAAGUCCAUCGGAAAAUCCACCCGCCCAACGGGUGGGCGUCCGGUGGAAACUGCGUGGCUUGGGACCGGAAGGCGCGACGGGUACGUCCGGGGUAGGAGUGAAAUCCCGUAAUCCUGGACGGACCGCCGAUGGCGAAAGCACGUCGCGAGGACGGAUCCGACAGUGAGGGACGAAAGCCAGGGUCUCGAACCGGAUUAGAUACCCGGGUAGUCCUGGCCGUAAACAAUGUCUGUUAGGUGUGGCUCCCACUACGAGUGGGUGCUGUGCCGUAGGGAAGCCGCUAAACAGACCGCCUGGGAAGUACGUCCGCAA